GUGCCAGCCGCCGCGGUAAUACAGAGGUCCCGAGCGUUAGGCGGAAUCACUGGGCUUAAAGCGUGUGUAGGUGGAUCGGUAAGUACCUUGUGAAAUCCCACAGCUUAACUGUGGAACUGCUUGGUAUACUGCCAGUCUUGAGCCAGCUAGGGGCUACCGGAACAAAUGGUGGAGCGGUGAAAUGCGUAGAUAUCAUUUGGAACGCCAAUGGUGAAAACAGGUAGCUGGGGCUGUGCUGACACUGAGACACGAAAGCCAGGGGAGCGAACGGGAUUAGAUACCCCCGUAGUCC
rnacentral:rRNA from 1 species